ACAGGUGACUGAUGCUCGGUGAAAAGGUGAACUUGACAUAUACCCGCGUCAGCUGCAAAAAAGGAACCAUGAGACAGGUGACUGAUGCUCGGUGAGAAGGUGAAUGUGACAUAUACCCGCGUCAGCUGCAAAAAAGGAACCACGAGACAGGUGACUGAUGCUCGAUGAGAAGGUAAACGUGACAUAUACCCGCAUCAGCUGCAAAAAAGGAACCACGAGACAGGUGACUGAUGCUCGGUGAGAAGGUGAACGUGACAUAUACCCGCGUCAGCUGCAAAAAAGGAACCUCGAGACAGGUGACCGAUGCUCGGUGAGAAGGUGAACGUGACAUAUACCCGCGUCAGCUGCAAAUAAGGAACCACGAGACAGGUGACCGAUGCUCGGUGAGAAGGUGAACGUGACAUAUACCCGCGUCAGCUGCAAAAAAGGAACCACGAGACAGGUGACUGAUGCCCAUGAGAAGGUGAAGGUGACAUAUACCCGCGUCAGCUUCAAAAAAGGAACCAUGAGACAGGUGACUGAUGCCCGGUGAGAAGGUGUACAUGACAUAUAACCUUGUCAGCUGCAAGAAAGGAACCAUGAGACAGGCUCCGCACUUUUCCAGCAUCAGCCUCCAGAUUCUCCUGGGGUGUAUAGUGGUAACAGAGGGAUGUAGAAAGGUGUACAUGGGUGACAGGUGUGUAGAGGAGUGCACAUGGGUGGCAGAGGGUUGUAGAAGAUGGACAUGGGUGAUAGAUGGGUGUACAUGGGUGACAGAGGGUGCAGAAGAGUGACAGGGGGCGUAGGGGAUGACAGAGGGGUGUACAUGGGUGACAUAGGGGUGUUGGGCGUGUAGAGGAGUGUACAUGGGGGACAAAGGAGCAUAGAGAAGUCAAAAUGGGUAACAGAGGGGUGUAGAUGGGUGACAGAGGGGUGUAGUGUAGUGUACAUGGGUGACAGAGGAGCGUAGAGGAGUGUACAUGGGUAAUAGAGGAGUUGAGAGGAGUGUACAUAGGUGAUAGAGGGGUGUACAUGGGUGACAGGAGGGCAUAGGGGGUGACAGAGAUGUGUACAGGGGUGACAGCGGGGUGUUGGAGGUGUAGUGAAGUGUACAUGGGUGACAGAGGAGCUUAGAGGAGUGUACAUGGGUAAUAGAGGAGUUUAGAGGAGUGUACAUGGGUAACAAUGGGGUGUACAUGGGUGACGGGUGUAAUGGAAUGUACAUGGGUGACAGAGGGGUGUAGAAGAGUGUACAUGGGUCGCAGAUGGGUGUAGAGGAGUGUACGUGGGUUACAGGGGGCGUAGAGGAUGAUAGAGGGGUGUAAGGGGUGAUAUAGGGGUGUACAUUGGUGACAAAGGGGUGUUAUGAGUGUACAUGGGUAACAGAGGGUUGUAGAGGGGUGAUAGAGGGGUGUAGAGGAGUGCACAUGGGUGACAGAGGAGUGUAGAAGAGUGUACAUGGGUGAUAGAGGUGUGUAGAGCAGUGUACAUGGGUGACAGAGGAGAGUAGAGGAGUGUACAUCGGUAACAGAGGAGUGUAGAGGAGUGUAAAUUCAUAACAGAGGGGUGUACAAGGGUGAAAGAGGGGUGUAGAGGAGUGUACAUGUGUGACAGAUUGGUGUAAAGGAGUGUACAUGGGUGGCA